ensembl:snoRNA Gm26368 predicted gene, 26368
CUGUAUCCAAUUAAACUAAGUCCCUUUCCCCUUGGAGCGUGCUGUGCAGUGACUGCAAACAGUAUGCUUCUUGGGAGGUUGUAUAUAGGGGUUUCUCUAAGAGACCUUGGGGACUGAA